UUCGGACGGGUUGGUAACGCGUGAGAAUCUGCCUACAGGACGGGGACAACAGUUGGAAACGACUGCUAAUACCCGAUGUGCCGAGAGGUGAAACAUUUAUGGCCUGUAGAUGAGCUCGCGUCUGAUUAGCUAGUUGGUGGGGUAAGAGCCUACCAAGGCGACGAUCAGUAGCUGGUCUGAGAGGAUGAUCAGCCACACUGGGACUGAGACACGGCCCAGACUCCUACGGGAGGCAGCAGUGGGGAAUUUUCCGCAAUGGGCGCAAGCCUGACGGAGCAACGCCGCGUGGGGGAGGAAGGUUUUUGGACUGUAAACCCCUUUUCUCAGGGAAGAAGAAAGUGACGGUACCUGAGGAAUAAGCCUCGGCUAAUUCCGUGCCAGCAGCCGCGGUAAUACGGGAGAGGCAAGCGUUAUCCGGAAUUAUUGGGCGUAAAGCGUCCGCAGGCGGUUAAUCAAGUCUGUUGUCAAAGCGUGGGGCUCAACCUCAUAAAGGCAAUGGAAACUGAUUGACUAGAGUAUGGUAGGGGUAGCGGGAAUUCCAGGUGUAGCGGUGAAAUGCGUAGAUAUCUGGAAGAACACCAGCGGCGAAAGCGCGCUACUGGGCCAUAACUGAC
rnacentral:rRNA from 1 species